rnacentral:rRNA from 1 species
GACAGAGGGUGCAAACGUUGUUCGGAAUUACUGGGCGUAAAGCGCGUGUAGGCGGCGUAGCAAGUCGGGCGUGAAAGCCCACGGCUCAACCGUGGAAGAGCACUCGAAACUGCUGCGCUAGAGUUCUGGAGAGGAAGGCGGAAUGCUUGGUGUAGAGGUGAAAUUCGUAGAUAUCAAGCGGAACACCGGUGGCGAAGGCGGCCUUCUGGACAGUGACUGACGCUGAAACGCGAAAGCGUGGGGAGCAAACAGGAUUAGAUACCCUGGUAGUCCACGCCGUAAACGAUGGGUGCUAGGUGUCGCGGGCUUUGACCCUCGCGGUGCCGCAGCUAACGCGUUAAGCACCCCGCCUGGGGAGUACGGCCGCAAGGCUAAA